UUCCAGGAAACAUGUGCAGGACGGGGGGUACAUUUGUUACACAGGCAAACCUGUGCCAUGGUGGUUUGCUGCACCCAUCAACCCACCACCUAGGUUUGUCGAAACUCUGUUUGCAGACAACAUGAUCCUAUAUUUAGAAAACUUCAUCAUCUUAGCCCAGAAGCUCCUUAAGCUGAUAAGCAACUUCAGCAAAGUCUCAGGAUACAAAAUCAAUGUGCAAAAAUCACAAGCAUUCCUAUACACCAACAGCAGACAAGCAGAGAGCCAAAUCAUGAAUGAACUUCCUUUCACAAUUGCUACAAAGAGAAUAAAAUACCUAGGAAUACAGCUAACAAGGGAGGUGAAGGACCUCCUCAAGGAGAACUACAAACCACUGCUCAAGGAAAUAAGAGAGGACCAAACAAAUGGAAAAAUAUUCCAUGCUCAUGGAUAGGAAGAAUCAAUAUCGUGAAAAUGGCCAUACUGCCCAAAGUAACUUAGAGAUUCAAUGCUAUUCCCAUUAAAUUACCAUUGACAUUCCUCACAGAAUUAGAAAAAACUACUUUAAAAUUCAUGUAGAACUGAAAAAGAGCCUGUAUAACCAAGACAGUCCUAAGCAAAAAGAACAAAGCUGGAGACAUCACACUCCCUGACUUCAAACUAUACUACAAGGCUACAGUAACCAAAACAGCAUGGUACUGGUACCAAAACAGACACAUAGGCCAACAGAACAGAAUAGAGAUCUCAGAAAUAAGACCACACAUAUACAACGAUCAUGGUUUUUGAUGGAUCUUGUCCAAAGACUUAGGUUGUCCAACACAAUAUUUCAGAUGACAGGAGCUAUUUCUUUAUGAAUAUGGUUCACCUGCUCAUUAACUGUUAUACCCAUGUGACUGUCAUUAGUGUACUUGAGUGUUGAUGCUUGUAAAAAUGUGUGUGUUAGUAUUGUCUGUUUUAUUGUGUAAAGCGGCCUAUGAAGCAUUCUGUCAUGUUUUUAUACAUUUCUCAAAUAAGUCUUCUUUUUAAAAUUGUAAGCAAAUGUCUUUCAAAUCAUUAUUUAUUUUUUCCUUUUUCUCCCUAACAUUUGAGAUAAAGAACUUUUUAAAUUU